rnacentral:rRNA from 1 species
AGUGAACGCUGGCGGCGUGCUUAACACAUGCAAGUCGAACGAGAACGGAAUAUAGCUUGCUAUAUUUGUCAGCUAAGUGGCGCACGGGUGAGUAAUGUAUAGAUAACCUGCCCUUAAGAAAGGAAUAACAGUUGGAAACGACUGCUAAUGCCCUAUAUGCCUUUAAUACAUAAGUAUGCAAGGGAAUCGCUUUAGUGCUUAAGGAUGGGUCUGUAUGGUAUCAGCUUGUUGGUGAGGUAAUGGCUCACCAAGGCUAUGACGCCUAACUGGUUUGGGAGGAUGAUCAGUCACACUGGAACUGAGACACGGUGCAGACUCCUACGGGAGGCAGGAGUGGGGAAUAUUGCACAAUGGACGAAGGUCUGAUGCAGCAACGCCGCGUGGAGGAUGACACAUUUCGGUGCGUAAACUCCUUUUAUAUAGGAAGAUAAUGACGGUACUAUAUGAAUAAGCACCGGCUAACUCCGUGCCAGCCGCCGCAGUAA